ensembl:lncRNA
UCUACAGAAAGAAAUAAAAAGCCAAGAAAGAAUGUAAAAAAAUAGACAGUUCUUGCUAUGGAGCUAGGUUACUCUUUCACCCAUUAUGUACUCAAGUUUCUUAAGGCUACAUAAAUGGAAACUGAACAACAGAUGCAACAAUCUGUGGAAACUUGGAUGCACUGUAAAUCUACUGGGAUUAUAUCUGGGAAGACAAUGUUUGCAUUCAGGAUAAGGUACUUUCAACAUCACAAGACGUGCCAGACUGCAAGGGCACACUGAAGCCAGCGAUGGCCAAAUUAAACAGCGUCUGGCAAAGUAACGACUCAAGACAGGUCCGUUAUCUCUCAGUGAGUGCGGGAGGACGAGGCUCCACCUGUUUCCCUAAAUGAAUUCAUGAAUGCUGCAGGAGAAUGCUAAUGAGAGCGCCUGGCUGUCUUCCUGACACAACAAUGCUAUCCAAAGACAGCGGCCAUAUUUGUAAUUAACAGGAGCUAUAUGUGGUGUCAAACGAGAGACGACAGGGUGUUUGGCUUCUCACCGCUGAGAAAAGAGAAAGCUCCCUUGUUCCUUUGUUGCUUCGACCUCUUUUUUUUCUUUCCAUAAGGCUGAGGGAGCCUGCUGGGCCUGGCUUCUGUGGUUUCUUCUCCCCAGAUGAAAGACUCAAAGUGCACAUUAUCACAAACGUACACAUUUGCUUUGACAAACUACCCUUGCAGCUGUAUGCAGACGAGCCUGGAGCCUAUCCCUUGGAUCUCAGGGCACAAGGUGGAGGACACUGGAGUACCUGGAGGAAACCCCAAAAGAAUGGGGAGAACAUAUAAAUUCCAUGCACCAAGGCUGGAGGCGGGAAUCAAACCCCCAACCCUUGAGGUGUGAGGCAAACGUGAUUGAUAGGGUGGCAAGAGAAAGAUCCUCCAUAAUGACUUCCCUUGGGCUGCUCAUUGAAGUUCACAAAAUAACACAACAUUAGAUCUCAUCCUCUGUGCAGUGCGCUGUAACACCAGAGAGGAAUCAUGUUCAGGGUGUGCAAAUGAACAAAACCGCAACUGAGUGCCUGUACCAGCCAGCACGCUACUCAAAUACCAUGACGGCAUUGAGUGUGAUGGAACACUGGCUCCGAGUUAUGUCUGUUUGUCUGCGUUAUCUUGCAUCUUAUAAUCAAAAUGAGAACUCAUCACUACCCUCAUUUGCCUGUAAUACCAAGUGUUAGAGAAAACAUGAGGGCUUACAGAGAGCAGAGAUCUCAGGAGUGAUGUAAAUCUUCAUCAGACUUUCUUCUUUCUUUCUUUGUAAGAUAAAUGAUGUUUUUUGUUUUUAAGAUAACAUGUUUUGCCUUUUUCUGUUGAUUUUUGAAACCUCUCAGAGUAUCGGCUCAGACAUCAGGUCAAUCUUCCCAUUAUGUUGUGUUUCUGUCUGUGUGUUAGAUACAGACUAAGAAAAGUGAUGGAAACCCAUGAGAGUGCAAGGCAGAACUUAGAGAUAAUGCUGAUGGAGGAGUCAGUUUUCACUGACACAGGCCUCUUAGGUGCAUGUAAAGGGAACGGAGAAUGGGAAACGGACCAAUUAUGGGCUUGAACAACAUGUUUAAACACUUAUGCUCUACAUUACGCACUGUCAACUUGUGCAUCAUGGGCCAGAUACAGAGCCAGCCAAGCUUUUUCAGCAGACCGGACUGAGUACAUGGGAAAAAAAUACUGUUGUACAGCUGCUAAACACACUUUACCAACAAGCAUGUAUUAAUGUACAAUUUUUUUUUCAUUUCAUUUACCCUCUCUGGUCUGGUUAGUGAAACGACGACAUGGCUUGUUUAAAAAAAAAUAAAAAAUAAAUAAAUAAAAGAUGAUGAAAACUUUGAAACGUUUAAAGAUGAUUGGACAGAGAAGUAUGUGCUUAUUCUCCCCGUGUCAAAUUCCGAACAGAUGUGUUUUAUGAGUCUAUGGUGCAAGUUAAAAGUGGUAUGUGAGUGUUGGACAAAACAUAACCACUUCAAAUGAUCUUAUUAAUAGCCAUAAAAUAGUCAUUCAUGUUUAAGCAUUAAGAGUAUUAGUGGAAAUGUAGAGCUCUACAUCAU